CCUACGGGAGACAGCAGUGAGGAAUAUUGGUCAAUGGGCGCAAGCCUGAACCAGCCAAGUCGCGUGAGGGAUGACGGUCCUAUGGAUUGUAAACCUCUUUUGUCGGGGAGCAAGGCCCGCCACGUGUGGCGGGAAGGAGAGUACCCGAAGAAAAAGCAUCGGCUAAAUCCGUGCCAGCAGCCGCGGUAAUACGGGGGAUGCGAGCUUUAUCCGGAUUUAUUGGGUUUAACGGGUGCGUAGGCGGAAGGUUAAGUCAGCGGUAAAAGGUCGGUGCUCAACAGCGGCCUGCCGUUGAAACUGGUAUUCUUGAGUGAGCGAGAAGUAUGCGGAAUGCGUGGUGUAGCGGUGAAAUGCAUAGAUAUCACGCAGAACUCCGAUUGCGAAGGCAGCAUACCGGCGCUCAACUGACGCUCAUGCACGAAAGUGUGGGUAUCGAACAGGAUUAGAUACCCGAGUAGUC
rnacentral:rRNA from 1 species